GACGAACGCUGGCGGCGUGCUUAACACAUGCAAGUCGAACGGUAAGGCCCUGCUUUUGUGGGGUGCUCGAGUGGCGAACGGGUGAGUAACACGUGAGUAACCUGCCCUUUACUUUGGGAUAACUUCAGGAAACUGGGGCUAAUACCGGAUAGGAGCUCCUGCUGCAUGGGGGGGGUUGGAAAGUUGAGGCGGUUGGGGGUGGAGGGGCGGCUUAUCAGCUUGUUGGUGGGGUAGUGGCUUACCAAGGCUUUGACGGGUGGCCGGCCUGGGAGGGUGACCGGCCACAUUGGGACUGAGAUACGGCCCAGACUAGUACGGGAGGCAGCAGUGGGGAAUGUUGAACAAUGGGCGGAAGACUGAUGCAGCAACGCCGCGUGCGGGAUGACGGCAUUCGGGUUGUAAACCGCUUUAGCCUGUGACGAAGCGUGAGUGACGGUAAUGGGUAAAGAAGCACCGGCUAACUACGUG
rnacentral:rRNA from 1 species